UACGUAGGGGGCAAGCGUUGUCCGGAUUUAUUGGGCGUAAAGAGCGUGUAGGCGGCCAGUUAGGUCCGUUGUGAAAACUCGAGGCUCAACCUCGAGACGCCGAUGGAAGCCAACUGGCUAGAGUCCGGAAGAGGAGAGUGGAAUUCCCGGUGUAGCGGUGAAAUGCGCAGAUAUCGGGAAGAACACCCGUGGCUAAGGCGGCUCUCUAGUACGGUACUGACGCUGAGACGCGAAAGCGUGGGGAGCGAACAGG
rnacentral:rRNA from 1 species